rnacentral:rRNA from 1 species
ACGAACGCUGGCGGCAGGCCUAACACAUGCAAGUCGAACGAAGUCUUCGGACUUAGUGGCGCACGGGUGAGUAACACGUGGGAAUAUACCUUACGCUGGGGGAUAACAUCGGGAAACUGAUGCUAAUACCGCAUACGCCCUUCGGGGGAAAGAUUUAUCGGCGAAAGAUUAGCCCGCGUCCGAUUAGCUAGUUGGUGAGGUAAUGGCUCACCAAGGCUCCGAUCGGUAGCUGGUCUGAGAGGAUGACCAGCCACACUGGGACUGAGACACGGCCCAGACUCCUACGGGAGGCAGCAGUGGGGAAUAUUGGACAAUGGGCGCAAGCCUGAUCCAGCCAUGCCACGUGAGUGAUGAAGGCCUUAGGGUUGUAAAGCUCUUUCACCCACGACGAUGAUGACGGUAGUGGGAGAAGAAGCCCCGGCUAACUUCGUG